GGAUUAGAUACCCUGGUAGUCCACGCCGUAAACGAUGGUCACUAGCUGUCCGGACUUAGGUCUGGGUGGCCAAGCGAAAGUGAUAAGUGACCCACCUGGGGAGUACGUUCGCAAGAAUGAAACUCAAAGGAAUUGACGGGGGCCCGCACAAGCGGUGGAGCAUGUGGUUUAAUUCGAUGAUACGCGAGGAACCUUACCAGGGCUUAAAUGCAUUAUGACAGGGGUGGAGACACCCUUUUCUUCGGACAUUUUGCAAGGUGCUGCAUGGUUGUCGUCAGCUCGUGCCG
rnacentral:rRNA from 1 species